rnacentral:rRNA from 1 species
AUGGCACCUGCAACAACUCUCUUCUCCCUUUCCCCACAUGGCAUCCUCGUUCUCUUCACCCAUCUUCUUGUCUUCAUGUCGUCCAGCACCGUCGCACAAUCGAUCAGCGGGUCCGAGGUCGACCGGCAGGCCCUCCUCUCCUUCAAGUCCGGCAUCUCUAGCGACCCAAACGGCAUCCUGCGAUCAUGGCGCAGCAGCUCCCUCAACUUCUGCAGCUGGAGAGGUGUCACCUGCGGUAUUACUCUUCCAACUCAUGUGGUCUCGCUGAACUUGUACUAUGCAAAGCUCAGUGGUCAGUUAUCUCCUUGGACAGCUAACCUUACGUCACUAGAACAGGUAGACCUUUCAGAAAAUCUCUCCUCUGGAGGCAUUCCAGAGGAGUUAGGCACACUCCCACAGCUACAGACUAUGGUCCUUUCAGCGAACAACCUUGAAGGUAUCAUUCCUAGAUCACUAGGCACUAGUAGAUCCCUUACGGGUGUUGAUCUCUCAUUUAACCUGCUCGUCGGCCCUAUCCCAGAUUUCCAUAGGUCCCCAGCCCUCCAAGAAUUGUCACUGUCAGAAAACAACCUUGCAGGUAUCAUUCCUAGAUCAUUAUUCACCAGUAGAUCUCUUAAACUUGUCGAUCUCUCAUCAAACCACCUUACCGGCCCAAUUCCAGAGUUCGAUAGGAUGUCAGCCCUUGAAUCUCUUGAUCUUUCAAAAAACAACCUCACCGGCAAUAUUCCAGAGUUCCAUAAGAUUUCAACCCUUGAAUUUCUUGAUCUUCAAAGAACAACCUUUCUGGAAGCAUACCUUCAUCACUGGGAAAUGUUUCUUCUCUCACAGAUAUAUUGCUUGACACAAACAGCUUGUCAGGUUCAGUUCCAGAGACUUUGA